rnacentral:lncRNA from 1 species
AUGGUCUCAUUGAUUAGAGUGGAAGCGAUCAGCAGCGGUGACCGCGGCGCAGCCGUCCCGCGGCGCGUACGCCUCCGGUGGAAUCGAGCCUUGAGUCACCAUGGUGAUACAGCGACGCUAAAAGAGAUCGACUUUCAAGUGUGCCGUGGGCACUACCGGAAGGGGCGGGCCUUCGCCCAAGUUUUCCCGCUUCUUCUCAGUUUGGGGCGGAAUCAACUGAACAAUAGAAUCUCGGAUCUCCAUUUUUGUGCCAUUCAAGUGAAUGUGACGAUUGAUCUGGACUCAAGCUGUAGGCCGACCAGUCAGAUGAGUAACUCAGUGGAGGAGGUGAGACACCAUAUCAAUACUUUAAACAUCUGUUCAUGCAACAUUGGAGGACUUUGCGGAUAUCAGGAGCUACUUUUCCACAACAAAAUGGACCCGCUUCUGAAUGGCAGAGAAAAAAAGAUUCCUGCAGAUCAUGGAAAACCAUUUGGUUAUGUCAUCUCUUGCCUUCAUGAGGAGAGAGAAGCCCGGCCAGGUGAGAGUCUGCUCACCUGA